rnacentral:rRNA from 1 species
AAUGAACGUUGGCGGCGUGGAUUAGGCAUGCAAGUCGUGCGCGAAUCGUAGCAAUACGAGGAGAGCGGCGAAAGGGAGAGGAUAGCAUAGAUACCUACCCCCGGACCUGGGAUAGCUAUGGGAAACUAUAGGUAAUACCAGAUAAUGUCUCCGGACCAAAGGUGUGACUCCGUCCGAGGAGGGGUCUAUGUCCUAUUAGCUUGUUGGUGAGGUAAUGGCUCACCAAGGCCAAGAUGGGUACGAGGCGUGAGAGCGUGUCCUCGCUCACUGGGACUGAGACACUGCCCAGACACCUACGGGUGGCUGCAGUCGAGAAUCUUCGGCAAUGGGCGCAAGCCUGACCGAGCGACGCCGCGUGCGGGAUGAAGGCCUUCGGGUUGUGAACCGCUGUCAGUGCGGAGGAAAUGUAGUGGGGUACUCCCCAUUAUUCGACCUAUGCGCAGAGGAAGGACGGGCUAAGUUCGUGCCAGCAGCCGCAGUAACAC